ACCAGACUCCUACGGGAGGCAGCAGUGGGGAAUAUUGCACAAUGGGGGGAACCCUGAUGCAGCGACGCCGCGUGGGUGAAGGCGUACUUCGGUACGUAACGCCCUAUCAGCAGUAAAGAAAAUGACGGUACCUGACUAAGAAGCCCCGGCUAACUACGUGCCGGCAUCCGCGGUAAUACGUAGUGGGCAAGCGUUAUCCGGAUUUACUGGGUGUAAAGGGAGCGUAGACGGCAGUGCAAGUCCGGAGUGAAAGCCCGGGGCGCAACCCUGGGACUGCUCUGGAAACUGUAAAGCUGGAGUGAGGGAGGGGCAGGCGGAAUUCCUGGUGUAGCGGUGAAAUGCGUAGAUAUCAGGAGGAACACCGGCGGCGAAGGCGGCCUGCUGGACCGCAACUGACGUUGAGGCCCGAAAGCGUGGGGAGCAAACAGGAUUAGAGACCCCGGUAGAU
rnacentral:rRNA from 1 species